AACAUUUAACCCCUGCAGAACCAGAGGGAACAUAGAACAAACCAAUAUAAAGAAAAUAACUUACAAAACUAAACCUUUAUAGAAGCCUUUAUAGAAGCAGAAAGUACUAUUGAGUCCUGCUCCUUGGAGAAGACAAAAUCCUAAUUGGAAUUAUUUGAAGAGAGAACUGAAGAAGUAUCUGAAACUUCGCAAUAGCCCUGCGAGUCUUCCCUUGUACAUCCUUAUACUCCAUUAUUAGUCAUCUGUAUAUCCUCACAUUUUGUUCUUUAUAUAAUUACAUAUUGUUUUCUACAUUGUUCAGGAAUUUGUUAUACACAUUUUCUGUUAUCUUUGAUAUCAAAAUAUACUUCUGUAUUUAUUAGG